rnacentral:rRNA from 1 species
UACGUAGGGUGCAAGCGUUAAUCGGAAUUACUGGGCGUAAAGCGUGCGCAGGCGGUUCUGUAAGUCUGUCGUGAAAAUCCCCGGGCUUAACCUGGGGAAUUGCGAUGGAGACUGCAAGGCUAGAAUCUGGCAGAGGGGGGGUAGAAUUCCACGUGUAGCAGUGAAAUGCGUAGAGAUGUGGAGGAACACCGAUGGCGAAGGCAGCCCCCUGGGUCAAGAUUGACGCUCAUGCACGAAAGGCGUGGGGAGCAAACAGG